UACGUAGGGUGCGAGCGUUGUCCGGAAUUACUGGGCGUAAAGAGCUCGUAGGUGGUUUGUCGCGUUGUUCGUGAAAACCGGGGGCUUAACCCUCGGCGUGCGGGCGAUACGGGCAGACUGGAGUACUGCAGGGGAGACUGGAAUUCCUGGUGUAGCGGUGGAAUGCGCAGAUAUCAGGAGGAACACCGGUGGCGAAGGCGGGUCUCUGGGCCGAUACUGACGCUGAGGAGCGAAAGCGUGGGGAGCAAACAGG
rnacentral:rRNA from 1 species